rfam:Musa acuminata subsp. malaccensis Doubled-haploid Pahang (DH-Pahang) genomic chromosome, chr2
CUUCCCAAUGAUGCCUCUGUUAACCAUGCUAAUGCUGAAAUGCUCUGAAGGAAUUUUGUUUCUUAUUCUGAGGGGGUA